rnacentral:tRNA from 1 species
AUGAUCGAAAAUGCGCAUGAUGCCGGGUUUGCCGUGUGCCGACAUCGCCACGGCAUGAAAGCGAUGCUGAUGUACCC